CACUGUGCGCAGGCGCGGAACUGACCGGACGGAGCGGGCGGCUGUGGCCUCGCCAGCUGGGUGGAGUGCAAUGGCACGAUCUCAGCUCACCACAACCUCCGUCCCCGGGUUCAAGCGAUUCUCCUGCCUCAGCCUCCUGAGUAGCUCGGAUUACAGGGCCCUGGACACAGGAUGAUCCCGGAUGGUGAGGCGGAGUUGAGGACAUUGUUGUAUGAGCGGAGAGUUGGCUAAGCUGCUAGAAUCCCUUCCUCUGAAACGAAGCCGUGCAGGGAUGGGGUGGGGAAGGUUGUCAACCAGCCAGCAUGCUCCUGGGCCUGUGGAAGGGGAGAGUGUCCACGGUUCACUUGGGGUCCCAGGGACCUUGCCAGCCCUGUACUGGGCUUUGGCAUGAAGGGGUGGAGAAGCUCUUCCAAGCUCUGACUGGUGUCUUGGUUACUAAAUCCUGAGGGUGGCAUGAUGAGAACACCAGUGGGGAGCCUUUGGCUGUGGGGUUCUGUGAGUGAGGCAGCAUGAAGCAGAAGUUGCCUCUAGAUGUCGCCAUCUGACCACGCUGGCAUCAGCUGAGUGCCAUUGGAGGAAAAUGUUCAUGAGAUGCGGCCUGAGGCCUGUCCCCAGCCCAAGCUGGGUCUCCCGGCGACUGCAGCCUGGAGCACCUUCGGAAGGCCUCCUGGGACUAGGGAUGUCUUUGGGGCUGGGAACAAGUGUGGGUGGAGGAAGGGCUGAUCCUGUGGUCACCCAGCCCUGUCUUGUAGGGAAGGAACUGCUGGGGUCCCAGGAGAAGCCAGAGCCAGGCAGUGGGCUCCAGAUGGUGGGGGAGUGGCUGCCACCUUGACCAUCUUCCCCAGCAUGGCUGUUCUCCUCUGUGGACCGCCCCAUGCCUCUGACCCCCAUCCUCCCUACCCCAUUCCCUACAGCC
rnacentral:sRNA from 1 species